rnacentral:tRNA from 1 species
GGCUCUGUAGCUCAGCGGUAGAGCGCUCGGCUGUUAACCGAUAGGUCCCGGGUUCGAAUCCCGGCGGAGCCU